rnacentral:rRNA from 1 species
CCUACGGGAGGCAGCAGUGGGGAAUUUUGGACAAUGGGCGAAAGCCUGAUCCAGCCAUGCCGCGUGCAGGAUGAAGGCCUUCGGGUUGUAAACUGCUUUUGUACGGAACGAAAAGCCUCUUUCUAAUAAAGAGGGGUCAUGACGGUACCGUAAGAAUAAGCACCGGCUAACUACGUGCCAGCAGCCGCGGUAAUACGUAGGGUGCGAGCGUUAAUCGGAAUUACUGGGCGUAAAGCGUGCGCAGGCGGUUAUAUAAGACAGUUGUGAAAUCCCCGGGCUCAACCUGGGAACUGCAUCUGUGACUGUAUAGCUAGAGUACGGUAGAGGGGGAUGGAAUUCCGCGUGUAGCAGUGAAAUGCGUAGAUAUGCGGAGGAACACCGAUGGCGAAGGCAAUCCCCCUGGACCUGUACUGACGCUCAUGCACGAAAGCGUGGGGAGCAAACAGGAUUAGAUACCCUGGUAGUCCACGCCCUAAACGAUGUCAACUGGUUGUUGGGAAUUCACUUUCUCAGUAACGAAGCUAACGCGUGAAGUUGACCGCCUGGGGAGUACGGCCGCAAAGGUUGAAAACUUAAAGGAAUUGACCGGNUGAGACGUGCGAGACGACGACGAGGGAGGAGG